rnacentral:tRNA from 1 species
GCCAAUGUGGUAUAGUGGUUUGAGCACUGGACUACAACUCUGGAGACCAGGGUUUGAAUCCUAGCUUGGCCA